GUGAGACCAGGACAAUGGAUUACAUUAAAGAAGGAAAAUGUGAAGACUGAAAAUGCUUCUCUGAUGAGAAAGCAGCCACCUAGAUCCCACGAGCUCAUGUUACCGUAAUAUUUACUAAUAGGACUCUGACAAUGCCUGGCGCAUAACAGUUCCUGGUAGACAGGGUCACUGACAGGUGUCACAAAGUCUGGUUGGUGGCUUACAGGCAUGACACAACAGGAACAUUCGAAGCAGGAGUGGACGAGAAAACGGCAGAUCUGUCCGCUGUGAUGACGGGAUUACCUAACUCGGUGACCAGACACCUUGGUGUCCCUCCCUUUACGCGUCUCCAGCUCGCUGUCUACCAGCCUCUCCCAAGUCUACCAUUGUUUUUACAUGGAGGAUGAACUGGAAGUUGAUUUUUUUUAAUUAGGCCAAGAAAAAUAACAGAGAAUCUUUGGAAGGAGACAGAAACCGAAUUAAACAAGGCUCCAUUCUGAAGAUGUUCUCAGCUCUCAGAUCCCACAAUCACAAAGCGUCCAAAGAGAAAAGACAACUGGUCGAGGAUGGACUUCAUUCUCCCAGUACUUAUAACAAAGAGCUCAGACUCGCCUCUUACUGGUGCUUCGUCGUAUUAGAGCAAGUGACUCUGUAGACGUGCUCUGUUCACCUGCUUUCCCUGCUUGCUUCAGCUCACUCCCCAUCACCUAUGCACAUCCACUUUCCACAGCAGGAUGCAGUCAAGGACCACAUAAAGGAAGAUUUCUACUUGACUUUGCCAGAAGUGGGGCGGUUCUAAAGUUCAACACAAAUGCUGGGCUGGAAGCCGUCCUGAUAACAUAGGUGUU
rnacentral:lncRNA from 1 species